rnacentral:sRNA from 1 species
UGCAUCUGAAGCCUGACGAGGAUGAGAACCUCCGGGGGCAAGAGGUUCGACUCGAGCGCAGCGAGAGAACGUUGCGUCAGCAACGGCCCGCAGGCCGAGCCACGCAGUGGCGAGUCAUCCUCUAUCACCGACCA